rnacentral:lncRNA from 1 species
CAUGAAGUGCAUCUUUUAAAUUAAAAGCUACCUAUUCUCCCAGAGGGCAUGCAUUCUAUGGAGACAGAGCUAAAUGUGUGCCAUCAGAAGACCAAAAUCAAGCGACAUUUUAAAAAGAAAACAGACUCUUCUGGGAAAAAUGGUGACUCCACAAAGUAAGAAGCCACCAAGACUUGUAGGACAUUCCUUCAUCUUCUCCUGGAUGGGGCAACCCAGCCAUGGAUAUAUGCCUCCAAUCAGCAUAAAUGCCCAUUGCUUGAUAAAGUCAACACAUGUGUAAGAUGGUAUGUACAUCUUCUGGGCUCCUGGCCUUAGACUCUUGCCCUUGUGUUUACCAACUCGAUUGUAAAUCCUUUGAGGGCAGAAACCAUAUUUUAGAUUUCUUCAUAUCCUUUCCCUUCCUCCAUGUCACUAACACUUCAUGUACUCAACAAAGGUCAAUACCUUUGAGAGGAGUGACAGGAGACACUCCCACAGUGCUGAACUAUGUCCUGCCCUUGCUCAACAUGGUGGGACUCUGCCUCCCAAUCCAAAGACCCCCAAAACUGCCACCAAUCCUGUCCUUUUCCCCAAAUGAAGCUAGAAGUAAGAAUGGAAAGAGAUCUAAACACCAUCCAGCCCAAUCUUCUCAUUUCACAAGCAUGGAAACCGAGGCCACAGAAGAGAAUUGACUUAAAAUCAAGAUCAUGCAUCUCAUUAGAGGAAGCUCUAACUCUAGAAUCAGAUAAUAUGACUCUAGUUCAAUGCCCAUAAGACUCCAUUGCACAAUUUUUUUUGGCAUCAAGUAUCUAAAGAUAGUUCAGUCAGAAGAACCUGGAACCUAGAGAAGCCAAGGGUUAGAGUGUAGGUGGCUGAGAUCUCUUACUGUCCCUCCACCUGCUCUAGGAAAUUCUGUUUCUUGAAUGGAACUCCUCAGAGAAAAGGACCACAAGCAAAUUGCUGCUGCUACGAAAUGAUACCAUAAUGAGAAUGGAAAUAAUCCUGGAUUCUCUGCUCAUUUCGACAAGUAAAAUAAGGCACAUAUUUUUCAAUGGAUACUGUUCUUUGGUCUUUGUAAAAAUUGUUUCCGUUUUGACACUUUUUGUAACCUAUUUCUUUGAAACCUG